GACGUAGGAUGCAAGCGUUGUCCGGAAUUAUUGGGCGUAAAGAGUUCGUAGGCGGUUUGCCAAGUCUGACGUUAAAUCCCGGAGCUCAACUCCGGUAUGGCAUCGGAAACUGGCAGGCUAGAGUCUGGUAGAGGCAAGGGGAAUUCCCGGUGUAGCGGUGAAAUGCGUAGAUAUCUGGAGGAACACCGGUGGCGAAGGCGGCAUCCUGGACCAAUUCUGACGCUGAGGAGCGAAAGCGUGGGGAGCAAACAGG
rnacentral:rRNA from 1 species